rnacentral:lncRNA from 1 species
GUUAGAGCAGCAGCUUUGUUCUGUUGUGCUGCUGUCUGCCUGAGAGUUAGUCAGUCUGUAACAGUUUAAUCUUUGUAAAACGUAUAAGCAAUUUAACUAUCACCUACCUGCAUUGAACAUAAUAUUUUGCAACUGCAAGUUUACUAAGUCAAAGUUACUUGUUCUUUAAACUUUAAUCAGAGAGUGUCUUGUACAGUUUUUAUAGGAGGCAAAAGAGAUCAAAUAAAAUGGUCAAACGAUCCAGGGCUCUCUUCCACAUACUUCACAUGAGGUAAUGUGGGUGGCUGAACAGAAUAUCAGAUGAAUCCAAAGAGGAUAAGAAUACCAGUGGGUUGGAUCAGUUAAAAAAAAAGACUCUGCAAGUUUCACCCCCAAAGACACAAAUCAAUAGACACAGAGGCCUCUGAAACCUUCAGCUGCUAGUAGGAUUGUUUUUGAUUUAUUUAUAUUUCUGGAUUUGCUUGGAACCCACGAGAAAGAAGGCCCUUGAUGCCAUUGAGCUCAGAUUAUGCUCAAUGUGUAGAAUUUCCUAUUAUUCUUACUGCAAAAUUAACUUUUGAUAUUUCAAGUUCACUACCCUCAUUCAGGAACAGAAUGCCAUACUUAAAUACCAUUUUAUAUCUAUUUUUCAUAUUUGAUUUCAGACAUGGAUGAUUGUUUUCAGUGUUCAGAAGAUCAUUAUCAAAACAUUGGCCAAGAUGGAUGCCUCGCAAAAUACAUAACCUUUCUGACUUACAGCAAACCCCUGGGGAUCAUUUUGAACACAUCUGCCGUUUUAUUUUCUUUAAUCAUAACUUUGGUUCUUGGAAUAUUCAUCAAGCACCAGGACACUCCCAUAGUAAAAGCUAAUAAUUGGAACCUCACCUAUGUUCUCCUGCCCUCUCUCAUCCUCUCCUUUCUUUGGUACUUUUGGCAGUGUGGGCAGGUGCCAAAGUCCUGCUGGAAAAUGAAGUCAGCAUCCCCAUAAAGCUUGUCUGUGGAAGAAAGCAUGAAGUGCUCCAAAAUCUCCUGGUAGAUGGCUGUGUUGACCCUGGACUUAAUGAAGCACAGUGGACCAACACCAGCUGAUGACAUGGCUCCUCAAAUCAACACAGACUGUGCAAACUUCACACUGGACUUCAAGCAUUUGGCAUUGUGUGCCUCCCCAUUCUUCCUCUAGACCCUGGGUCUUGGCUUUCCAAAUGAGCUGCAAAAUCUGCUCUCAUCAGAAAAAAGAUUUGGGGAGCCAUGCCAUCAGCUGGUGUUGGUUCAAUGCCCAUGGGAUUACUGUGCUUGAUUGGCUUUGGCUGAGAUAGGAUAAAUAUGUUUUCUUUAAAAUAUUACACAGAAACUGUAAUUCAAAGCAAGUGAUUACCUCUCCUGUAAUUAUUCAGAAUUACAUCUUCUCCCCUUCCCUUUUCUGUGCCCACAUGCAAAUGAUGAAACUAAGAAUGGAGGGUCUUAUUAAUAUGACUAUGAACUAUACAUGGUUGUGUCUAUAGAUAUACAGAGAAUAAUGAGUAUGGCUUUGAAUCAGCUGUGUGAGUGACCAUUCAAGUUAGUCUCUACAACUCACAGUCACUUGAAUGAUAGUAACAGAAGAGGUGAACUUGUGCCUACAUGAAUAAUCCCUUGCAAGAUGGUAGUGUUUAGGUUGCUGGUGCUCUUACUGCCACUGCAGGGGAUGUGCAAGUUUCUUCCUCUUCCUCAGUGUUCCAUCAGAGAACCUGUCCCUAUUCUUCACAAAUAUUAUCAGUCAGGAGAUCUCAUCAUUGCUGGCAUUAUUUCACAGGUCUAUAUAUUUUCAGAUACCCUAACCUUUGAAAAACACCCAUCUCAGGAAUUUUCAGAUGACCAUAUGUAAGUAGGUGAUUCCCCCCCCCCCGGGAGGGGAAUAGUAGUAUUCUGUAAAUAAAUUUACAGCCAUCCCAGCCAGUGUGUUUAAAUAAAAGAAGGGACCUAGCACCUAUCUCUCCCAUUUAAGAAAAGACUUUGGCUGAGAUGUGAUGAACAUGUUUUUGAUAUAUUAUUACAGAGAAUCUGUAACUCAGAGCAAGUGAUUACGUCUGUAAUUACCAAAUUAUUCAAAAUUACAUCUUCUUCCCUUCCCUAGGGACCUCCUUUGUCCACA